rnacentral:lncRNA from 1 species
CAUUAUACAAAGAUCUUUUUUCCAACAUAGUUCUGUGGUAAGGUCAAUGUUCUGUUUGGUCCCGAUCUGUGUGUAGUCCAUGUUCUGUAGUAGUCCAUAUUCUGUUGUAGUCCAUAUUCUGUAGUAGUCCAUAUUACUUUUGUAGUCCAUAUUCUGGUUAGUAGUCCAUAUCUGUUGUAGUCCAAGUUCUGUUGUAGUACAUAUUCAUGUUGUAGGUCGCAUAUUCGUUUUUUAGUCGCAUAGUCUGUUUUGGUCCCAUGUUCUGUUGUGUCCAUAUUCUGUAGUAGUCCAUAUUCUGUGUAGGUCCAUAUUUCGGUUGUAGUCAUAGUUCUUGUUGUAAGUCCAUAUCUGUUGAGUCCAUAUUCUGUUUUGGUCCCAUGUUCUGUUGUAGUCCAUAUUCUGUAGUAGUCCCAUAUUCUGUAGUAGUCCAUAUUCUGUUGUAGUCCAUAUUCUGUUGUAGUCCAAUUUCUGUGGUAGCCAUAAUUCAUGUUGUAGUCCGAUUCUGUUUUGGUCCCAAUGUUUCUGUUUAGUCCAUAUUCUG